rnacentral:lncRNA from 1 species
AAACAGGUAAGUAUAGGCUUAAUCUUUAUUUUCUAGGAGGAGCUCGCUGUUACCUGAAGGGAUGGACUGGUCGGUGGAAUGUCCGGUGCCGUGAGUUACCUGCUCAGCCCUGGAGCAGGGGUCAAAGCUGGGCGGAGCUGGACAGCCAGUCUCAGCCUCAGGUACUCCAGUGACAAGCAGCAGCACCAGUGCUGAUGAGGGUAGCAGGGAAAACUGGUGAAAUGUGCCGAGGUCUCUCCAGAGGUGGUAGGCGGUUGCGCCAGCUUCACAUCCUGGAUAGGCAGGAACGUUUCCCUAUCAUACUCCUGUCCCGGGUCUCAUGUGUCUCAGUUCAAACAGACACUGCCGUCUAUCUUCAAGCUGCAAUGAAGCUGAGAGCCACAGAAAACACCUGUACCAUGGUUUCAGGGAGGAGUCUCUUCCCUCAGCCGAAAACAGACAGCUUUGCUGGUCAUCUGUUCUCCACUGCGAGGACGCUGCCACUCAGUGUGGAGAGAGGAAGGGGUUCUGCCUAUGGUGCAAGAAGGUCGGACUCGGCAGUUAAUACUCUUGGAUAAUGUAUUUAAGGAUGCUUAAGCUGCAGCUGCCAAGACUCUGCCUCCCAGGCCUGUAUUCACCAAAACAGUGAUUACCUUGGACACUUGCUAAAUCGUGGAAACCUCAUUUGCACCUAAAUACAGUCUAUGUACAUGAAUAAUAAUUGCUUGUCUUUCGGGUGGAAUUACGUAAACAUACAGAGAAGCUACAUACUUGGACAUAUUUAUGACAGCUUGGCCAAGAGUUUUCAAAAAUCAUUACAUCAGGCUAAUUAAUCUUUUGAAUUUUGCACAAGGAAGUCUGUUCACAUUAACCAAUGCCAACCUUUCCUUCUCCCCAUCUCCUGCUGUUCCACAUCUGAAACCAAACUGCCUUGCCCAACCAAUUUCAUUGAACAUAGCCUUAAUAGACAACAUUUACUGAGAAUUUGACAAGCAUGGGACUCUAAACUAAGGACUUUAUAUGUGGGAAGAAUAUUUUGUAAAAUAUUGGAGAGAUAGUCAUGGCACAAUAAUUUAAAACAGCAUGAAUUAUGUAUUCAGAUAUACCCAAAUUCAAUUCUUGGCUACGUCUCAUGCUAACUUGGACUUAAACUUUCUGUUUCAGUUUCUGCAUAUUGGAAUUAAGGGGGGUAAUUAUAACUUGGAAAUUUUUUGAGAGACUUCUCCCAGGACAUGGAGCCAGUCACUUGAGGAAUCAACAUAAAAACCAAGGACUCAAGUCCCUGUUCUUAUCAAUAAGUUUUAUUGUCACCAUUAAUUUUUGAUAGCUCUUCCACUUUUAACAAGGUUGUUGAGACCCUUCAAGGUAUUGAAAAAUAUUGCUCUAUUUAUGGCUUAUCAGAAAUAGGAAAAAUAUGACAUUAUUUUAUAUUUCUGAACAAUUUAAAUUCAUACCAUGCAUUUUAAGUUUUGAAAACUCUCCUACAGUAUUUCCCACAGCUCAUCCACUCCUGUCUUUCCAAGUACUUUUCUUAACUCAGCUCUGAUAAAUAAUUUUGUACAGUGUGCAGGGUUGUGCAUGGGUACAGUGUGCAGGGUUGUGCAUGGGCGGCAGGGAGUCAUGGCAUAUGUAUGAGGAAGGAGUUGCAGAACUGAAUACAAGUAGUGGGUUUGAAGAAAUAAAAAACUUGAUUCCAUUUUCUAACUUCUCAUUUUGUCACAUGUGUUCUGUGACUAUGAAAGUGGUGUGUUUCUCAGUAUGGAUGACUAUCACUCAUAAACUGGAAACUUUUGGUUCUAAUUGUUUCUUUUAACACCAGUAUAGAAUAUGGCAAGGAAAUAUUAAGGAGAGUGAAGGAGAAAAGAUAAAGACUGUUUUUGAUGUUAUUAAAAUCUAAGUAAUAACCAUAAAGGGUUACAUAAAUGAACAUAAAUCUACAGGCCAUUAGAAUGAAUUUGCUGUUAGUUUUAUUUUAUGAAGAGCUUGGGGUGAACCCUUGAGCUCUCGUCAUUAUGUGGAUUUUAUCCCAAAGUAUCCUAUGGGCUGGAUUAGAGGAAACACAAUAAGAUUUAUAAAAUGUUAUUUUUAACUCUCUUUAUUGGCACUUUGUGCAUGCACAUACAAAUGUAACUUUACAGCACCCCUGCAUUGUGCAUGAUAACCUGAAGAUGCUGAAGAAACAGAAACUCAGAUUUCAUUGGAUUAACACUUAUUUUUACCCAGUGGAGUGCAGGUCAAAGGCACUCCAUAAACUGAAUUUGUAACUCUAGGAAGCAAUGUUCUGAACCAGAAAGCAGGAAAGAGUAUUAAUCAAAAGUGAAAAGGUUCUGCUGAAAGCGGAACAGUCUUGGAAAAUGAUUUUAAAGAUCACUUGCCAUGCACACAAUUAUUUUGUAUUUGCAGUUCAUGCCAAGAGUUUAAAGAAAACUGAUGGGAAAUUUCAUUAUUCAAGUAUGCACUGUAUGUACAAUGUAAUCCCAGUCACUCACUGGGGCAAGGCAAAAGUGACAUUAAGACAGAAUAUUUUAAAAAUCUAAUUGUUCCGUACUAUACAAAGUGAGCUUUCAUUGCAAAUAAUUAUUCCUAUUAUGAGGUCUACAGAGGCAUAAUAUUGUUAAAAUGAGAAUAGUUUCUGAACCAUAUAGACUUUUAUGGAUAUUUAAAAAAUACGUCUCUAAAGUGUUGAAUAACUGGCAGUGUUAUUCCUUAUUUUCAUUUUUUAAUGUAUUUUACCAGUUCAGGAAGGAUGUAGUUCAAUAAAAAUUCCCAUUACAAUCUGAAACUUCCUCUCCAUUUUCAUAAUAGUAACUGGGGACACUGCUUCAAACAUAGUUAAGCCUUUUAAAGGUGUUGAAGAGACAGCUUUUGUCAUUUUUAAAAGAUACGUAUUUCUUAAAGAAGGGAUAAGGUUGAUAGACUUAAUAUGAUAAGAGAUUCUGUCUUACAGAAAAAUAAAAUCAACUCAAAGAGAUGUUUUUUCUCUUUCCCUUACAUGCCAAAGUAGUGGACUACUUUCUUGUCCCAGGGUUUUCUAUAUAAGCUCAAGAACAUACAUCCCAUAAUAUCUGUUAAAUAAAAAAAAGAUUAACCUUUUAUUAAAAAGAUAAUAAUAGAAUUAAGUGAAACCAUUUACUACAUUGAAGGGAUUGAUGUUUUGUUGAAAUAACUGGUUAAACUAAAAUAUUUUGUCCAUUGUCUCAUUUUUAUUCUAAUUCCAGUCACAGAUUUACUUGUUUAUCUGACAAAAGAUAGUGCUAUUGUGGAGAAUUACGAAAUAAGUAUAAAUCUUCAUAGUAUAGGUAAACUACACUUUCAAAAAAUAAUCCUGUAGAGGAAAGAGGCAGUAUCUUUUAAGACUCACCAUCAGUUCCAGUCUUUGACCUUUGAACUUUUCCUGUUUCACUUUCAUUGGACUAACUCUGUAUGAUUCCAAAGUUCAUUCUCUGAGGUGGAAGUUAUAAUGACAGUUCUACAAAGCUUUUAUUUUUUCCUCACCCAGAUUACCAUUCUAUCUUAGGAAUUUAAGCAAACUAUACAGUAAAUACAAGAUACCAUGUAAUAAAGUUAGUACAUGUCUUCGAUGAGUUUUACCUAAGUUGCAUCACUUUUUUUGUGGUUACCUUAUUAUUGUUCUGAAAAAAUUAUCUUCAUUUCUCUACGUAAUAUAUAGAAAAUAACUUUACAUUAAUGCACAGACCACUAACAUAUAUUAAAAUCUCAAUGAAAUUAGUGUCAUUUUAUCCUUGUUUCCUGAGCUAUUUAAUUGGUUGUUACUUUUGUUUCCUACAGUGUAUCCUUUGUUUUAAUAUGCUUUUUAAUUCAGUCAUCAAAUAUUUAUUAACUGCCAACUAUACUAUGGCAAUAUAUUUUGUUCAACAAAUGCUUCUUGAAUGCCUAGUGUGUGAAAGGAAUUAUACUGUGAAAUUCGGGUAUAAAAACAUAUGCUCUUGAUGGUCUUAUCCUCCAAAUGCUUAUAAAGAGCUAAGUAAUAAGCCAAAUGCUAUUCAAAAUUAAAAGUCAUUGUGUAAUUUUAAGACCUUCAAUACAAUCACCAAGGAAAUAUUAUGAGACAAACUCCAAUAGCUCAUUUUAUGCACAUUACUCAUUUUGAUAAUUAAACUGAUAGCACUUAGAAUAUAGUUAUGUUAUAUCUUGCUUUAAGUUGGAUAAAUUAAAAUAUUUUUUCUAAUGCAAUUGUACCUGAUUUUGUGAAAUAUUUUAAUUCCUAACAGCCUUAUAGGCAUAUCUCACUUUAUUGUGCUUCAGUUGAUUGUACCUUCUAGAGUCUAUGUUUUUACAAAUUGAAGGUUUGUAGCAAUCUGUAUCCAGCAUGUCUAUUGGUGCCAUUUUCCAACAGCAUAUGCCCUCUUUUGUCUCUGCAUCACAUUUGUUAAUUAUUGCAAUAGUUGAAACAUUAUUAGUAUUAUUAUUAUAUCUGUUAUGGUGAUCUGUAAUCCAUGAUCUUUCACGUUACUGUUGUAAUUGCUUCUGUA